GACGAACCGUCCUAACGUUGUUCGGAAUCACUGGGCUUAAAGGGCGCGUAGGCGGGCUGCCAAGUCUGAGGUGAAAUCUUUCGGCUUAACCGGAAAAUAGCCUUGGAUACUGGCGGUCUUGAGGGUGGUAGGGGCAUGUGGAACUUCCGGUGGAGCGGUGAAAUGCGUUGAUAUCGGAAGGAACGCCGGUGGCGAAAGCGACGUGCUGGACCACUACUGACGCUGAGGCGCGAAAGCCAGGGGAG
rnacentral:rRNA from 1 species